GGGGAUGACUGGCUUCGAUAAAGACAAAUCCUGAACCAGCGAGCCGAGUGCGACCUCGUUAACUCGCAAAAAUACAUAACUGCCAACCAAAAAGUUGCUGCUCCCGCUUUCGCUUACGCGUAACGUGGGAGGAUCGGUUCGCUCGGGUCUCUUGAGCGAGUAUCCGGUCUUAUACUAGGAGACUCGUCCCAGUUAGGCAGCUUCGCGCCUAACGGGAUUAAAUCAAACGAAGCAAACCCGUCUCUUUUGAGGCUACGCUCGUAGAAAGUUCAGCGAAGAUAUCUUUAGACGGCGGUUCGAACCCGCCCAUCUCCACUA
rnacentral:tmRNA from 1 species